CCUACGGGGGGCUGCAGUCGGGAAUUUUGGGCAAUGGGCGAAAGCCUGACCCAGCAACGCCGCGUGAAGGAUGAAGUCUUUCGGGAUGUAAACUUCGUAAGAAUAGGAAGAAUAAAUGACGGUACUAUUUGUAAGGUCCGGCUAACUACGUGCCAGCAGCCGCGGUAAUACGUAGGGACCAAGCGUUGUUCGGAUUUACUGGGCGUAAAGGGCGCGUAGGCGGCGUGUCAAGUCAAUUGUGAAAUCUCCGAGCUUAACUCGGAACGGUCAAUUGA
rnacentral:rRNA from 1 species